rnacentral:rRNA from 1 species
AUUGAACGCUGGCGGCAUGCUUUACACAUGCAAGUCGAACGGUAACAGGGAGCUUGCUCCGCUGACGAGUGGCGAACGGGUGAGUAAUGCAUCGGAACAUGCCCAGUCAUGGGGGGAUAACUACGCGAAAGCGUAGCUAAUACCGCAUACGCCCUGAGGGGGAAAGUGGGGGAUCUUAGGACCUCACGUGAUUGGAGUGGCCGAUGUCAGAUUAGCUAGUUGGUGAGGUAAAGGCUCACCAAGGCGACGAUCUGUAGCGGGUCUGAGAGGAUGAUCCGCCACACUGGGACUGAGACACGGCCCAGACUCCUACGGGAGGCAGCAGUGGGGAAUUUUGGACAAUGGGCGCAAGCCUGAUCCAGCCAUGCCGCGUGAGUGAAGAA